rnacentral:rRNA from 1 species
GAUGAACGCUAGCGGCAGGCCUAACACAUGCAAGUCGAGGGGCAGCACAUAAACAGCAAGGUUUUGGUGGCGACCGGCGGACGGGUGCGUAACGCGUAUGCAACCUACCUUUAACAGGGGGAUAACGGAGGGAAAUUUCCACUAAUACCCCAUAACAUCGAUCAAAGCAGCGCGAUUGGUUGAAAACUCCGGGGGGUAAAGAUGGGCAUGCGUUGUAUUAGGUAGUUAGGGAGGUAAUGGCUCACCAAGGCUACGAUACAUAGGGGGACUGACAGGUUAGCCCCCCACACUGGUACUGAGACACGGACCAGACUCCUACGGGAGGCAGCAGUGAGGAAUAUUGGUCAAUGGGGGCAACCCUGAACCAGCCAUGCCGCGUGCAGGAAGACGGCUCUAUGAGUUGUAAACUGCUUUUAAACAGGGAUAAAGCACAGUAUGUAUACUGUGUUGAAGGUACUGUAAGAAUAAGGAUCGGCUAACUCCGUGCCAGCAGCCGCCGUAA